rnacentral:rRNA from 1 species
AUUGAACGCUGGCGGCAUGCCUUACACAUGCAGGUCGAACGGCAGCACGGGAGCAAUCCUGGUGGCGAGUGGCGAACGGGUGAGUAAAGUAUCGGAACGUGCCCAGUCGUGGGGGAUAACGUAGCGAAAGUUACGCUAAUACCGCAUACGAUCUAUGGAUGAAAGCGGGGGAUCGCAAGACCUCGCGCGAUUGGAGCGGCCGAUAUCAGAUUAGGUAGUUGGUGGGGUAAAGGCACACCAAGCCGACGAUCUGUAGCAGGUCGGAGAGGACGACCAGCCUGAAUGGGACUAAGACAAGGCGCGUACGCCUACGGGAGGCAGCAGUGGGGAAUUUUGGACAAGGGGCGAAAGCCUGAUCCAGCCAUGCCGAGUGCAGGAUGAAGGACUUCGGGGUGUAAACUGCUUUUGUACGGAACGAAAAGGACUGCCCUAAUACGGUGGUCCCAUGAAGGUACCGUAAGAAUAAGCACCGGCUAACUACGUGCCAGCAGCCGCAGUAA